GGUGGAUUAGUGGCGAACGGGUGAGUAACACGUGAGUAACCUGCCCUUGACUCUGGGAUAAGCCCGGGAAACUGGGUCUAAUACCGGAUAGGAACGUCCACCGCAUGGUGGUUGUUGGAAAGAUUUAUCGGUCAUGGAUGGACUCGCGGCCUAUCAGCUUGUUGGUGAGGUAAUGGCUCACCAAGGCGACGACGGGUAGCCGGCCUGAGAGGGUGACCGGCCACACUGGGACUGAGACACGGCCCAGACUCCUACGGGAGGCAGCAGUGGGGAAUAUUGCACAAUGGGCGAAAGCCUGAUGCAGCGACGCCGCGUGAGGGAUGACGGCCUUCGGGUUGUAAACCUCUUUCAGUAGGGAAGAAGCGAAAGUGACGGUACCUGCAGAAGAAGCACCGGCUAACUACGUGCCAGCAGCCGCGGUAAUACGUAGGGUGCGAGCGUUAUCCGGAAUUAUUGGGCGUAAAGAGCUCGUAGGCGGUUUGUCGCGUCUGUCGUGAAAGUCCGGGGCUUAACCCCGGAUCUGCGGUGGGUACGGGCAGACUAGAGUGCAGUAGGGGAGACUGGAAUUCCUGGUGUAGCGGUGGAAUGCGCAGAUAUCAGGAGGAACACCGAUGGCGAAGGCAGGUCUCUGGGCUGUAACUGACGCUGAGGAGCGAAAGCAUGGGGAGCGAACAGGAUUAGAUACCCUGGUAGUCCAUGCCGUAAACGUUGGGCACUAGGUGUGGGGACCAUUCCACGGUUUCCGCGCCGCAGCUAACGCAUUAAGUGCCCCGCCUGGGGAGUACGGCCGCAAGGCUAAAACUCAAAGGAAUUGACGGGGGCCCGCACAAGCGGCGGAGCAUGCGGAUUAAUUCGAUGCAACGCGAAGAACCUUACCAAGGCUUGACAUGUUCUCGAUCGCCGUAGAGAUACGGUUUCCCCUUUGGGGCGGGAUCACAGGUGGUGCAUGGUUGUCGUCAGCUCGUGUCGUGAGAUGUUGGGUUAAGUCCCGCAACGAGCGCAACCCUCGUUCCAUGUUGCCAGCACGUAAUGGUGGGGACUCAUGGGAGACUGCCGGGGUCAACUCGGAGGAAGGUGGGGACGACGUCAAAUCAUCAUGCCCCUUAUGUCUUGGGCUUCACGCAUGCUACAAUGGCCGGUACAAUGGGUUGCGAUACUGUGAGGUGGAGCUAAUCCCAAAAAGCCGGUCUCAGUUCGGAUUGGGGUCUGCAACUCGACCCCAUGAAGUCGGAGUCGCUAGUAAUCGCAGAUCA
rnacentral:rRNA from 1 species